UACGAAGGGGGCUAGCGUUGCUCGGAAUCACUGGGCGUAAAGGGUGCGUAGGCGGGUCUUUAAGUCAGGGGUGAAAUCCUGGAGCUCAACUCCAGAACUGCCUUUGAUACUGAAGAUCUUGAGUUCGGGAGAGGUGAGUGGAACUGCGAGUGUAGAGGUGAAAUUCGUAGAUAUUCGCAAGAACACCAGUGGCGAAGGCGGCUCACUGGCCCGAUACUGACGCUGAGGCACGAAAGCGUGGGGAGCAAAGCAGG
rnacentral:rRNA from 1 species